rnacentral:tRNA from 1 species
UUUCAGGGAUGGAAAUCGAACCCACAGUAUUCCGCUUACCGGGCAGAUGCCAUGUCCACUAAGCUAACCUUGAU